UCGAGGACUGUUAAAAGGAGAGUCAGCAGGCUUUUAAUUAAUUUUCUUAUCAUCUAUAGCUGCAUACCAAACAUGAGAGCAUAAAACAGGAAGAUGCACAAGCAGUGAUACAUAGAAAAGGCAAUUGAAUCGGGGGAAAAUUACUCCUAAGCCAAGGCAUUUGUCACGUCUCAGUGUUAAACCAAGACAGAUGGUUCUAGCAGUAUCUUCUUUAAGCUUUAUGAUCAAGUCAGCUCAGCAUACAGCUCAACUAUGGAAACAACAACAGCAGCAAAAAAGAGUUUAAA
rnacentral:lncRNA from 1 species